CCUGGGUCGCCCUGUAGGAACCGCGAGUAGUUUUCCGUAGAUGAGCAUCGAGUGGCUCGAUAUCCCAUUUUGCCUGGUGCCUGGCCAAUGUAGGUCAGCUGAGUUGGCUGGUUGACGCGAAACAAUGCGGAUAUCCGCGAGAUUAGAAUCUCGAAACGAAGGUCGAAGCCCCGUGCACGUCCGACAGCUUGGCGCUCGAGCCACCGUCGAGAUUCUGCUGCCACUUUCUGCCACUUUUUACCCUCGGCGAGAUCGAGCGUUCCCGUGGUCGCUGGCUCAUCCGCGACCGACUAUCGUCGUCUUGUUCACUAUCGUGUGGCCGGCAGAAAAA